AUCACUUUCACCAUGAUUCAGUUAACUGCCUGGGCUCAUCCUGGCUCCUAGAGCCAGCCAACAUGGGCCCCACAGGCUGACAAGAAGUCUGUUACUUACAGCACCCAUUUUUUCCCAUGUUCUGUGUCCCCACAGCCCUAUGUUACUGACAGGGAGCCUAGGGAACACGUGGUGGUCAUGGGAUGCCUCCUGGGAAUGAGAAUGUGAACAAAAAGGUAGGGAGCCAGCCCAAGGUAUAAGAAGACCCAAUGUAACAAGGAUUCUUCCAGAAAUGGCUUCCUAGCAUCCUUCACAAGGAGAGAGACACCAUCUGCCCUGUAGCAUCCUCCACAUGGAGGUGCUUUGUGAGUCAUUUGAAACAACAAAAAGCCCAUAAUUGUCUGUAUCCAGUGCCAGAGGUCAAGCCAAUUCAACUAGCAUUUAUUAAGCACCUACUAUGUGCCAGCCACUGUGCUAAGUGCCUGGGAUGCAAGAAAGACAAAAACAAUCCCUGCUCUCAAGGAACUGAAAAUCUCAUGGGGAAGACGGCUUGCCAGACCAUGUUUCUGAACUUUAAAGAAUAAAUUAAAAGUAGAUGCCAAAUGGGGUAGUGUCACCAGGACUCCAAGAAGGCCUGCCUUGGCUAGCAGCCAGGAAGAAACAGAGACUCAUCAUCUACUCUGCUACUUCAAGUACUUGCUGCCUACCCCUCUUACUCAAGGAAUGAUGUUUGAGUAAUAUUAUCAUUGCGAUUGUGAAGGGCAUGACCAUACCCAUGAUUCUGAGAUGAGGAACUGAGGCAUACAAGGUAAAGUAACUUGCCCACGGUCACUCAGCUAGUAAAUGUCUGAGGCCAGAUUUGAACUCAC
rnacentral:lncRNA from 1 species